GGUAGACAUGUUCAGGUUUAUAGUUCAUGCUCUGCGAGAAAAGGCAAUCAGUAACAAGCCUCGACACGUGUAGCCGAUUAACUGCACUACUUAGAGUAGUCUCAUUACACUAACUCAGGGUUACUGAUCAUUCACAUGUGCUGAUGGCGUCGGGUGCAGAUGAAUCCAAAGACAGAGAGCUGACAGACUGUCCUGAAGUGCAGUUUCCAGACAAUGCUGAAGCUCUAGGUGCAAUGAUAGAGUCCAUAGAAGAGAGGAUUUCUCUGUGUGAUGUGGUCUUUCAAGAUCUGUUAGCUGUUCAGAGAAUUAUAAAGGAAAAAGGCCUUUGUGAUGCAUCAUUGCAGGAACAAAAUGACUUGAGCUGAUUUUACACUAUGAUCAGGAUUUUUUUUUUUUUUUUGAGUUGAGACUUGUACAUAAAUAACCAAUAAAAUGAAUGAUGUGAAAUGA